rnacentral:lncRNA from 1 species
UCCGUUAAUUUAUCUUGUAAUCAUUUAUUGCCGAAGCUUAACACUAAUUGAUAAUUUGAGAAUACUGUUUGAAGAGUUCCAACGUUUAUUGUAGGAUAAGAUUCUUGUAAUAAAACAAGAACGGUUGAGAUUAAACUUUUCAUGGCAUGUUGCAAAUGUCGGGUAUGAUAUCGUGCACAUAUAAGUGCAUCGAUAGAAAUAUCUGAAAAUUUAUAAUUCUUCGUAUCAUGAUGUCAGAGUAGAAUCUGUAAUUCAAUCGAAUAUUGUAGAAAUUAUUAACUGUCAUACAGCGCAUGCUGAUCUUCGGUCGUCCCGAUAACGAUCGUUAUCGUGAUGAAUCAUAAAAUAUGAAAAGAAACUUUAACGCCACCCUGUGUUGCAUCGUAGAACUCAAUGAUGUACUGUCGAUAAAGUUGUUCAUUUUUUAUUCCCAAUUAAAGAUAAAUGUAGAUUUCGGCACUUCGUACAUCUAAAUAAGAUGAAGAAUGAGAGUUGUUAUUUAAGAAUUUCCUAAGUAAAAUAAACUUUUAAGUUAAUGAUAGUAGAUAUAACAUGUCAGCAAUAUGAAAUCUAGCAUUAUAUUUAUAAAUAGCAAACAGGAACUGAACAACAGAAAUUUAAAAUG